AUUGAACGCUGGCGGAAUGCUUUACACAUGCAAGUCGAACGAUGUAGCAAUACAUAGUGGCGCACGGGUGAGUAACGCGUGGGAACGUGCCUUUUAGUUUGGAAUAACACCGGGAAACUGGUGCUAAUGCCCAAUACGCCCUUCGGGGGAAAGAUUUAUCGCUAAAAGAUCGGCCCGCGUCAGAUUAGCUAGUUGGUGGGGUAAUGGCCUACCAAGGCUCCGAUCUGUAGCUGUGCUGAGAGGAAGAUCAGCCACACUGGAACUGAGACACGGUCCAGACUCCUACGGGAGGCAGCAGUGGGGAAUAUUGGACAAUGGGGGAAACCCUGAUCCAGCCAUGCCGCGUGAGUGAUGAAGGCCUUAGGGUUGUAAAGCUCUUUUACCAGGGAAGAUGAUGACGGUACCUGGAGAAUAAGCACCGGCUAACUUCGUGCCAGCAGCCGCCGUAA
rnacentral:rRNA from 1 species